rnacentral:rRNA from 1 species
GAUGAACGCUAGCUACAGGCUUAACACAUGCAAGUCGAGGGGUCUCGCGGGAGCUUGCUUCCAAGAGACGACCGGCGCACGGGUGAGUAACGCGUAUCCAACCUGCCCUUCAUAUUGGGAUAGCCUUCCGAAAGGAAGAUUAAUCCCGAAUAACAUGAGAAAGUUGCCUGAUUCUCUCAUGAAAGCUCCGGCGAUGAAGGAUGGGGAUGCGUUCCAUUAGGUAGUAGGCGGGGUAACGGCCCACCUAGCCCACGAUGGAUAGGGGUUCUGAGAGGAAGGUCCCCCACACUGGAACUGAGACACGGUCCAGACUCCUACGGGAGGCAGCAGUGAGGAAUAUUGGUCAAUGGGCGCAAGCCUGAACCAGCCAAGUAGCGUGAAGGAUGACUGCCCUAUGGGUUGUAAGCUUCUUUUAUACGGGAACAAACCUUGGUACGCGUACCAAAUUGCGUGUACCGUAUGAAUAAGCAUCGGCUAACUCCGUGCCAGCCGCCGCCGUAAUAC